rnacentral:rRNA from 1 species
UAAGCAAUUAUACCGUGAAACUGCGAAUGGCUCAUUAAAUCAGUUAUCGUUUAUUUGAUAGUACCUUACUACUUGGAUAACCGUGGUAAUUCUAGAGCUAAUACAUGCUAAAAACCCCGACUUCGGGAGGGGUGUAUUUAUUAGAUAAAAAACCAAUGCCCUUCGGGGCUCUUUGGUGAUUCAUAAUAACUUCUCAGAUCGCAUUUGGCCUUGCGCCGGCGACGGUUCAUUCAAAUUUCUGCCCUAUCAACUUUCGAUGGUAAGGUAUUGGCUUACCAUGGUUUCAACGGGUAACGGGGAAUUAGGGUUCGAUUCCGGAGAGGGAGCCUGAGAAACGGCUACCACAUCCAAGGAAGGCAGCAGGCGCGCAAAUUACCCAAUUCCAACACGGAGAGGUAGUGACAAUACAUACUGAUACAGGGCUCUUUUGGGUCUUGUAAUUGGAAUGAGUACAAUUUAAACCUCUUAACGAGGAACAAUUGGAGGGCAAGUCUGGUGCCAGCAGCCGCGGUAAUUCCAGCUCCAAUAGCGUAUAUUAAAGUUGUUGCAGUUAAAAAGCUCGUAGUUGAACCUUUGGCCUGGCUGGCAGGUCCGCCUCACCGCGUGCACUUGACCGGCCGGGCCUUUUCUUCUGGAGAACCGCAUGCCCUUCACUGGGUGUGUUGGGGACCAGGACUUUUACUUUGAAAAAAUUAGAGUGUUCAAAGCAGGCCUUUGCUCGAAUACGUUAGCAUGGAAUAAUAGAAUAGGACGUGCGGUCCUAUUUUGUUGGUUUCUAGGACCGCCGUAAUGAUUAAUAGGGACAGUCGGGGGCAUCAGUAUUCAAUUGUCAGAGGUGAAAUUCUUGGAUUUAUUGAAGACUAACUACUGCGAAAGCAUUUGCCAAGGAUGUUUUCAUUAAUCAGUGAACGAAAGUUAGGGGAUCGAAGACGAUCAGAUACCGUCGUAGUCUUAACCAUAAACUAUGCCGACUAGGGAUCGGGCGGUGUUUCUAUUGUGACCCGCUCGGCACCUUACGAGAAAUCAAAGUGUUUGGGU